GGGAAAAUAAAGCAAAUAAUUACAUGCACAAAACCAAAUAAACAUGCAUAGUUAAAUCAAUUAAAUUAGAACUACUGUAUACACUGGGGGGUAACUUUGUUACCUUAAAGUACACAUAACCGAAAAUGUUUUGAACGUUCAGAAAACAUUAGCAAAAUGCUCUUAAUACAGUACAUAUUUCUGUUAGCUGGGUAUCACUUCUGCUGUUGUUAAUGCAUUUAUAAUGUUGUCUGUUUUUACUCAGUUUCAUGGUAAUAAUUCUGCAUAUCAUUUGGCCUGUGCAGAUCAUUGUAAUAUUACUAGUUCAGCUAUUAUUACUCUUAUUACUAGUUCAGUUAUUAUUGUUAUAUGUGACCCUGGAGCGCAAAAGCAGUCUUAAAUCGCUGGGGUAUAUUUGUAGCAAUAGCCAAAAAUACAUAGAUUUUUAUUUUAUCUCAAAAAUCAUUAGGAUAUUAAGUAUUUUGUAAAUUUCCUACCAUGAAUAUAUCAAAACUUAAUUUUUGAUUAGUGAUAUGCAUUGCUAAGAACUUCAUUUGGACAACUUUAAAGAUGAUUUUCUCAAUAUUUAGACUUUUUACACCAUAAGAUUCCAGAUUUUCAAAUAGUUGUUUCUCGGCAUAAUAUUGUUCUAUCCUAACAAACCAUACAUCAAUGGAGAGAUUAUUUACUCAGCUUUCAGAUGAUGUACAAAUCUCAGUUUUGAAAAACUGACACUUAUGAAUGGUUUUGUGGUCCAGGGUCACAUAUUUCUAGUUAAGUGACAUUUCUUCUUCACAUCUAUAGUUGCAAAAUCAAUGUAAUCAGUCAUGUCAGGGCGAAAAUAGUUGAAAUGCACUGCCAAUUUUUCCAUGAAUCUUUUUCUCUUCCUCAUAGCUUGUGGUUGGGUUUCAUUGGUGCUUGCAUGAGUGGGUGGCAUAUGACAGCACAGGUCUCACUAAACCCUUUUCAUUAUCGCUCUCUGUCUCUCUCGGUGCAUUUCUUCUCUCUGAGCUCUUGUUCUGUUCUCUUCAGUCAUCAGGGAGAUAUUACAGGAUUUUCAGUCACACACAGAGCUGAUGUGGAUGUUUCUGCUCCUCAUCGAUUCACUUUUUACACUCAAGAGGAGAUUGUGGAGGGACGGUGAUAUGUGACAGAUCACAUGUGAGAAGAGAUAAAGGCAUUAAAUGAGAGAUGGGCAGCAGAGAGAAAGACUCAAAGUCUAAAGAAUCACUGAAGAUUAUUCGCAGAGACAGCAUGGAGCAAAAACCAAACAGUGAGUAUUUUGUCUGUGUUACGUUUGCCUUAUUAUUACAGAAAAGGAAGGCCGAGGCUAGCUGUCACGGUUUUUAUUUCAGUAUAUAUUAAAUAGCAUGAAAGCCUUCAAGAGUUGGUUAAUACAUAGCAGUGAUUAAACAAGGACAAGGUGGGGUUUGUGGAGGUGGAUGGAGGCGUGAGAUAAGCAGCUGUUGGUUUGUAUUAUGAGUAAGAAUAAACUCCUCCCAAAAUUAAUUUCCGGUUCAGUUAACGCAUGUUGACAUUUAUAUGGGGCAGGUUGUCACAAUGUAACCUGACAUUAAACAGGAUGUUAUUACAUUUUAAUUUAGGCUUUUUAACACAAAGUAACACACAGAAAAUUCAAAUCAUUGUGUCGUUGUUCUAAUAAACAGUACUUAAAAACUACUAAAAUGUAACUUCUAGCUUUUAAAAUUUGUGACAACUUGCCCCUAUUAAACUUCAUUAUAUAGUUGAUUCGUAUCUUAAUGUACGUCAGUUUGUUUUAUUGUGUUUAUUUAAGUUUUAAAGUAUUUGUGUCAUUUACUGAAAAACGUUACUGAAAUAUAUGGAGGGAUUAUUGGGUCAGAUUUUAGUUUAUAAUCUGACCCAAUAAUCCCUCCAUAGAAAUACAGACCCCGUGACAACUUGCCCCGGUCUCUCCUAUAUGUCAUAUUCUUUUCUUGAUGAAGUCCUGAUUUAAACUUAUAAUUGUUUUUGUUUAUUCCAGUGUUUCUGGAUAUAGACAGACUUGUAGAGUUUCAUUCAGAAUCAGAAACGGUCACAGAUGAGGUGAGAUUCACAGAUCGUCUACAGAGAAGGAGAUACAAGUGAUGUGUGGAACUGAAAUAAGAAUGAAAUGUGUUUUUGGCUUUUUUUAGCAUCGGAAACAACCUAGCAACCACAUAGCAACACCUAAGUAACCACUCAGAACACAUAACAACACCCUAGAAAUAGCCCAGAAUACCUUAGAAACCACCUAGCAUCCACCCAGAACACCCUAGCAACCACAUAGCAACACCCUAGCGUUAAAACCUUCAGAAGAACUUCCCCCAAAUCCUAGCAACCAUUCAGAACACCGUAGCAACCACAUACCAGCACCGGAGUAACCAACUAUAAUACCUGCAGGGCACCAGCCACAAUACCCUAGCAACCACACAGCAACACCUAAGCAACUUCCCUGAACACUGAAUAGCAACACCCUAGAAACGGCCCAAAAUACCUUAGCAACCACCUAGAAACCAUCCAGAAUACCCCAGCAACAACAAAGUAGAACCCUAGCAUUAAAACCUUCAGAAGAACUUCACCCAAAACAUAGCAACCGCCUAACAACCAUUCAAAAUACCCUAGCAACCACAUAACAACACCCUAGUAACCACCUAUAAUACCUAAGCACCUGCGUGGCACUAGCCACACCACCCUAGCAACCACACAGCAACACCUAAGCAACCACCCAGAACACUGCAUAGCAACACCCUAGAAAGGGUCAAAAAUACCUUAGCAACCACCUAGAACCCAUCCAGAAUACCCCAGCAACCACAAAGUAGCACCCUAGCAUUAAAACCUUAAGACUAACUUCACCCAAAACAUAGCAACUGCCUAACAACCAUUCAAAAUACCCUAGCAACCACAUAGCAACACCCUAGUAACCGCCUAUAAUACCUUAGCAACUGCAUGGCACCUGCCACAAGACCCUAGCAACCACAUAGCAACACUUAAGAAACCACCCAGAACACACUAGCAACUGCAUAGCGACACCCUAGAAACAAUUUAAAGUGCCUUAGCAACAACCUAAUAAACUAUUUAAAAAAAAACCUGAUCCAAACUCUCUGGCUAGGCUUUCUCAGUCAUUAUAAAGUUUGUUUUGACAAAUCUAGUUGUAUUGUAUUAUAAUUGCUCUCUUUUUUGUCUUUAGGUCACUUCAGUACAUCCCGCUUGUUCUGAGCUCUUCAGAUCCAUCUUCAUCUUCAUCUUCAUCUUCAUCUGUCAUUCAGCAGUCAGUAAUGGAUCAGUAUGUCUCCCUCUGCUGGACACUUGCGUGUAGCACAAGAGGAGGAUUAAAGGGACAGUUAACCAAAAAAUAAGGAAAAUUCUGUCAUCAUUUACUCACCCUCAAGUUGCUCCAAACCUGAUAUUUUGAAGAACGCUGGUAAGAGAACAGUUUCUGGUACCCACUGACCUCCAUAAUAUGAAAAAAAAAAAAAAAUACUAUGGCAGUCAAAGGCUACCCGCAAAUGUUUGGUUGCCAGCAUUCUUCAGAAUACCUGCUUUUGUGUUCAACAGAAGACAGAAACUCAUACAGGUUUGGAAUAACGUGAUGGUGAGUAAAUAACGAGAGAAUUGUUAUUUUCGGAGAACUGUCCCUGUAAGUCUUGUGUGUCGGUUCUGAGGGAAUGACAUCAUACAGUACAUGCGUGUAACACUGUAGAUGGUGUUAAACUCUCUGGAUUAUCUGUGGUGUUUUGAAGCUUUUCUGUCAUGGUGUUUGAUCUGAAAGUGGAGCUCAGAACACACUCCACCAGCAUUUCGCACCUUGUUUGAUUUUCUCCUGAUGUUACUUGUUUCAGAGCCUAGAGAAACUAAAGAUAUUUCUGACUGUUCACUGUAACAGCGCAACCGUUGAAUGCUGCUUUACUCCUUUUUUUGUUUAAUUUUUAUUUGUUGUAUUUGUAAGUUUUAUUUGUUUAUAACUUGUACAUAGUUUUUAUAAAAUAAAAACCUCUGUGAGGUGCAUUACAUCUAAUGGUGUGUGGAUUUAAUCACAUUUGAACAAUUAAUAAAACAGUGCUGCAGGUACAUAAUAUUUCUGUAUUUAGUGUUUUUUUUUUUUAUAUGAUGUGUUUUUGAAAUAAGGUCUUUGGUGGAUGCUGAUAAAAGGUUAAGAACAGGGUAUAAACAAAAAACAUUUUGUUAAAAUAACUUCGCAAAAGAUGAACCUGGACUAGACAUUAAGAGAUUCUCACCAAGGUUCACCUAAAAAAGGUUCAGAAAUCUUUAAUGCAAGACAAGAUUUUGAUCUUCAGUUGAAUUAUUUAAAUCAUGUUAUAGCGGUUGUGAAAAGAGCGAAACUUAACUCUAUUAAAACAAAUUCCAGCUUUUGCUUAAACUCAGCUCAAACUUUAGUGAAACUCCUCCCGGAAACAACCUAGCAACCACCCAGAACAAUCUAGCAACCGCAUAGCAACACCCCAGCAACCACCCAAAAUACCUUAGCAACACCCUGGCAACCACAUAGCAACUAUCCAGAACACCAUAGCGCCAACCCACAACACCCUAGCAACCACAUAGCAACCAUCCAGAACACCCUAGCGCCUUCCACAACAGCCUAGCAACCAUCAAGAACACCCUAGCGCCACCCACCACACACUAGCAACCACAUAGCAACCAUUCAGAACACCCUAGCGCCAACCCACAACACCCUAGCAACCAGAUAGCAACCAUUCAGAACACCCUAGCGCCUUCCACAACACCCUAGCAACCAUCAAGAACACCCUAGUGCCACCCACAACACCCUAGCAACCACAUAGCAACCAUCCAGAACACCCUAGCAACCACAUAGCAACAGCUAAGUAACCACUCAGAAAACACUAGAAACAGCCCAGAAUACCCUAGCAACGGCAACAACCUUGUUCUCCAUGGUGGGUUUGAACAAAAUCAAAACUAGGAUCAGUUUGGUUCUGGACAGAACGCUAUCAUCCAUCAUGACGUUGAACAUUUAAGUGGGAGCUUAACUGAUAAUCCUAGUGUUAAUUUUAAGACGUUAUAAAUUAAGUAUCAGUGCUUUAUGUUUAUUGUAAUAGCUGCAUUGAAGAUAAACGGUUGUCAUCAUCUUUGUCCACUAGAUGGCAGAACUGAGAGACAGAAUGAAGAGUCAGAGAUCUGAUCUGAAGCUGAAUGAAGAUCAUGUGUCACGUGGAGCAUAAAGAUCUCUGGUGUGACUGAAUCUGGUUUUAGUGAGGAGAAAAGUGCUGAUGACAAAUUUGUAAUAAUAAUAAUAUUCUCAGACUUUUACAAUUGGCUUCAGGUCAAACUUUCAUUGAGUUGAAUAGAUUAUAAUACUUUAAUAAGGAUAACUGAAUCUGUGUAUAAAGUACUGAACGUGUGCUCCCCCAAACAAGCCUUGAGCUUUAUACAGCAGAUGUGAGGAUGAUGUUUCUUAGAUCAAAGUGUAAGACAGAUGUGAGCAAUAAACAGACAGUACAGAACGGGUUUAACUACAUUAGUCAGUCUCUUUCUCCAUGAACACUUAACCUCAAGCUGCUGCACUUUGAGUUGCCCUUUCCAAUCUGUGAGUGUUUUAAUGUGACUUUUAGGUCAUGCACAGGCUACAUCUAAAAGUGUAAUAUUUCUACUUUCCAUCUUUCUCUUCUGCAGUCUCUCAUGCUGCAGAUGAACCAGUAGAGAGUCAUUAUUAAUAAAGUGACUAAAAUCAUUUGGGCCACCUCUAUAAAACAAGCGAGAGUUCUGUCAAGUUGUAAAU
ensembl:lncRNA